rnacentral:rRNA from 1 species
UCCAGACUCCUACGGGAGGCAGCAGUGGGGGAUAUUGCACAAUGGGGGGAACCCUGAUGCAGCGACGCCGCGUGGGUGAAGGAGCGUUUCGGCGCGUAAAGCCCUAUCGGCAGGGAAGAAGGAGGACGGUACCUGACUAAGAAGCCCCGGCUAACUACGUGCCAGCAGCCGCGGUAAUACGUAGGGGGCAAGCGUUAUCCGGAUUUACUGGGUGUAAAGGGGGCGCAGACGGCAGCGCAAGCCAGGAGUGAAAGCCCGGGGCCCAACCCCGGGACUGCUCUUGGAACUGCGCGGCUGGAGUGCAGGAGGGGCAGGCGGAAUUCCUGGUGUAGCGGUGAAAUGCGUAGAUAUCAAGAGGAACACCGGUGGCGAAGGCGGCCUGCUGGACUGCGACUGACGUUGAGGCCCGAAAGCGUGGGGAGCAAACAGGAUUAGAUACCCUGGUA